ACGACCUUACUUGAACAGGUUCUGUUCUAUAGGCUCGUACCGCUGCAUCCUUUACCAAUAAGGAGGCAAGCACUUCAGUCUGGUUGAUGCAUUCUGACCUCUAUGACAGGCCGUGAUUUACGGCCUGGGUUCAUCUGAUGGGUGCUAUCUGAUGGCUGUAGAGGAUCGUUCCUGCCCAGUUAUCACUAGUGCAGGGUGGCUCAGAGGUUGUCUGACAGACU
rnacentral:snoRNA from 1 species